CUGAUCAUGCAAAAAAAAACCUGUCUUUUAUUUAAGGAUAGUAAUCAUAUGAAGCCAUUCAUUAUCACAUAGUUGUUUGGCUACUUUUUAAAUCAUAAUGAUAACAGAAAUCACCCAAAUGGCCCUGAUCAAAAGUUUACAUACCCUUGAAUGUUUGGCCUUGUUACAGACACACAAGGUGAUACACACAGGUUUAAAUGGCAAUUAAAGGUUAAUUUCCCACACCUGGGGCUUUUUAAAUUGCAGUUAGUGUCUGUGUAUAAAUAGUCAAUGAGUUUGUUAGUUCUCACAUGGAUGCACUGAGCAGGCUAGAUACUGAGUCAUGGGGAGCAGAAAAGAACUGUCAAAAGACCUGCGUAACAAGGUAAUGGAACUUUAUAAAGAUGGAAAAGGAUAUAAAAAGAUAUCCAAAGCCUUGAAAAUGCCAAUCAGUACUGUUCAAUCACUUAUUAAGAAGUGGAAAAUACGGGGAUCUCUUGAUACCAAGCCAAGGUCAGGUAGACCAAGAAAGAUGCAACCUACACAACCUACGGCCACUUUGCACUUCAGAACCUGCUUCGUUCUCUUUCUCAGUGGGACUGUGAAACUGCCAGUCAGCUGUGAACAAAGCUGACUUCAUUCCAGCCUUUGCCACACAGUCCACCCUCAGCAUCCUGGAACUGACAGAAACAUGGAUCUGUCCAGAGGAUACAGCAACACCUGCUGCUCUCUCCAACAACUUCUCCUUCUCUCACACCCCUCGACACACCGAUAGGGGUGGUAGAACAGGUCAGCUGACAAACUUUCUUGAGGAGUUGGAUGUCCUGCUGUCCUCCUUUCCGGAGGAUGGUAGGUCACUUGUGGUUCUUGGUGAUUUCAACAUACACCAAGACAAGCCCCAGGCCACUGAACUGAAUACUCUUCUGGCCUCAUUUGACUUGGAAAGACUACACACCAUAGUAACUCACAGAUCAGGCAACCAGCUGGACCUCAUUUUUACACGUAACUGUUCCAACUUAAAUAUUUUGUUACUCCUCUACAUGUCUCUGAUCACUACUUUGUUCAGUUCAACAUGACUCUUCCAUUAACAUUAAAACAGACUCCACCUUUGGUUUCCUUUCGCCAUAACCCCCGUUCUCUUUCACCCUCACGCCUUUCCACUGCUGUCUCUACCUCUCUUCCCACACUAAAUAUAUUUUCCAUGCUUGAUGUAAACACUGCCACAGACACACUAAGCUCUACUUUAACAACCUGUCUAGACAACAUCUGUCCUAUCUUCUCUAGGCCAGCACGUACUACACCACCCAGCCCCUGGCUGUCUGAUAUCCUUCAUGAACAUCAGACUGACCUCAGGGCAGCUGAGAGGAGAUAGUGGAAAUCUAAAAAUCCAGCAGAUCUAGGGAAAUAUCAGUCUCUGCUUGCAACUUUUUCAGAUAACGUUAAAUCUGCAAAAACCUCCUAUUACCAGAACAAGGUCAACAGCACCACAGACACUCGCAGCUUGUUUAGAACAUUCAACACACUUCUCUGCCCUCCCCCUCCACCACCUGACACAUCACUGACAGCAGAUGUCUUCGCCACAUUUUUAACUAAUAAGGUUACAACCAUCAGCAAUACAUUCUCAGCACCACACCCUGUCAAACACCUGUCCCCUGUAUGCAACUCUUCUGUCUCUAUGUUCUCUCCUCUGACUGACACUGAGGUCUCUAAACUCCUGCUCUCCAACCACCCCACCACCUGUUCCCUUGACCCCAUUCCUUCUCACCUUCUCCAGGCCAUUUCUCCGUCCAUCCUACCUGCACUCACACACCUAAUUAACAAGUCUCUUCUUAAAGACACUUUUCCUGCUACAUAUAAGCAGGCUCGAGUAACCCCUCUGCUGAAGAAACCUGCACUUAACCCCACACAAAUAGAACAUUACAGACCAGUCUCUCCCAACCGAUUCAUGGCAAAAACACUUGAAAGGGCAGUUUUCAGUCAAAUCUCUCACAGAACAAGCUGCUGGAUGGCAAUCAGUCAGGCUUCAAAAGUGGACAUUCCACUGAGACUGCCCUGCUGUCUGUCACUGAGUCGCUGAGACAGGCAAAAGCUGAAUCGAGAUCAUCCGUCCUGAUUAUGCUGGACCAUUCUGCAGCCUUUGACACAGUCAACCAUCAGAUCUUACUCUCUACCCUCUCCUCGCUGGGCAUCACAGGAACUGUGCUUGACUGGUUUAAUUCCUAUCUCUCAGGUAGGUCCUUCAAGGCAGCCUGGAGUGGUGAGGUAUCCAAGCCACAUCAGCUACUUACUGGGGUACCUCAGGGAUCUGUGCUUGGGCCACUUCUCUUCUCUAUAUACACAACAUCACUGGGACCCAUCAUUCAGGCACAUGGUUUCUCUUACCACUGCUACGCUGAUGUCACACAACUCUACUUGUCUUUCCAGCCCAACGACACCACAGUGACUGAUCUAAUUUCAGCCUGCCUGGCAGACAUCUCAGCCUGGAUGAAGGAACACCACCUGCAACUCAACCCAGCCAAGACUGAACUCCUUGUUUUUCCAGCCAACCCUGCUGUUGAACACAACAUCAUUGUGCAGCUGGGUGCAACUACAAUAAUGCCUUCCAAAAGGUCAGAAAUCUAGGGGUAACCACUGACAACAGACUAAAUUUCACAGACCACAUCUCAAAGACCACAAGAUCAUGUAGAUUUACACUCUACAAUAUCAGGAAGAUAAGACCCUUCCUCUCUGAACAUGCCACACAACUGAUUGUCCAGUCACUUGUCAUAACUAGACUGGACUACUGUAACGCUCUCAUUGCAGGACUACCUGCAUGUGCAAUUAGACCCCUGCAAAUGAUCCAGCACGCAGCAGCACAUCUGGUUUUUAGUGAACCAAAGAGAGUGCAUGUUACACCACUCCUUGUCUCUCUCCACUGGCUGCUGGUUGAUGCACGUAUCAAAUUCAAGGCUCUGAUGCUGGCAUACAGAACAGUCACUGGGUCUGCUCCAGCAUACCUAAAAUCAUUUAUGCAGAGCAUUUGGCAAUAAAGUCUUGUUUUAAGUUUAAAUUUCAAACUUUAGACUUAAAACAAGAAAAAAAUCUGCCGAUGGGGAAAGCAAAAUAAACUUGUUUUCCCUUUGAAUUAAGUUUAUUUUUCUUACCCCAUUGGAAAACAGUUUUUUCUUGUUUUAAGCAUAAAUCUCACUAAAUUUGAUUAGAUUUCUCUCAGAACAAAACUUAAAAUCUUAUGCCAGUUUGCUUGUCUAGUAAAUAAACCACAUUUUAAUAAUGUUUAGACAUUUUUACUGGAAAACAAGACAAAAAUACUUGUCUUGAAAUUAUUUUUUUGCAAUAUAGAUCCACAAUCCAGUCAAGCCUGGUUUAUGAUGCAUCCAGAGUGAGGAUGCAUGCGAUUCGCACUGCGAUGUACAAUUGGGUAAAACCAUUGAAUGUCUUAAGGGGAAUCCCACAGUCUGGACAUUCAGGGGUUCUGCUGGGCCCCCUGUCUGUCCAGAGCCCUUAGAAUCGACCAAACCUUUCCCCAGUUACAGCGCCCCUGGUCUCCGCUACUGUCUAUUAUCAUUAAAUAACCGCGUUGGCAACUCUCUACUCACAUUAAUAUAAGGGAGAGAGGUGAUUGUGGCGCAGAGCUCUGUUCACCAUCACAGGAGCACUGCUCACUUCCUGCACUCUCCAUUGGAAUGUCUCACUGCAUGGGCUUGAUGAAACAUGAUAGGGUGGGCCAGGCCCACUCUGACCCCUCUGUAGAGCCAGUCCUGCUAUUUGACCUUCUUCAAGUGUAUGCAAUCCAGCUAAGCAUGCAAAUACAAUUUGCUCGACACCCAAGGGCAUUAUCAAGGCUAUAUGAAGAAUAACACACUCUGUCUCCAAAUACUCCACAAUAUUACUGAAGAUAUAUUUAGAGCGAAAAACAGAAAUGAUAUGAAUUGAGCCUUAAAAGAAUGUUCCUUGUUUUAAGGCCAAUGAUCUCCACAGGAUGUUCACCGCAAUAGAUUGAAGGCUUUCUUUUGACAUUUGAGUUGGUGUGGUUGAAUAAUAUUAAGAUGAUUGUCUCUUUCUCCCUCUCUCUCUUUUCUCUAUUUGUCUUUUACACUCUUGGUCUAUGUUUUCAUUUGUCAAGUUACAUGAAUAAACACCAUAAAUAUCUCUGGGGGAAAAACUGUUUGGGAAUAAGUCAUGCCUUUAAUGAUGUAAUCUUCGCUAUUGUUAAAUUUUUUUUUAUCUUAUAGUAUGUUUGGAGAUGAUUAGAUAACUUCUAUUUAAUCAACGUUUUACAAGACCUUUUGAGUCUUACAAGUUUAUAAACCGUAAAUUGUUUUUGAAUUUUUUUAUUAUUUUGUAGUUCGAGAGGUUAAAUUAGCCUCAAAACACGAUUGAUGUGCUGUGAUUGCUUAAAUCUACUAUCAGGUAUUUCAUUUGUUGAGGAUGCCAAUCCACUCCAUGUGGUUAAGCUAUCCAGUUAAUGUUUCUCAAGCCUUUUGAUAAUGUUAUGGGUCCAGCAUGUAUAUUUAGAAAGGCUGAAAACAUUAACCACUAUUUGUGUGCGUACUCACGUGUAAACACUCAGCCAAUAGGGAAUUGUAGGAGACUUUCCAAAACAAAAAAAAUUGUUUGUCAUGCUACUAUCACCAGAGUCUAGAUCUUCUAUUUUCUCAAAACAAAGAGAUAAAAAAAACAACAAGGGGCAGCUGGUUGGUGCUCUAAAGGGCUCCAAUGUGUGUGGUCAGCCUGAAGCUACACUGAUUUUUGUUGAUGUGGUUUAAGUUGUAAACCAUCUGAUCUGUUUUGUCUCCUGUUGGCAAACACAAUCUCUAAGGGGCUCGCAAAGCAGUGGCGAAUUCUCAGGGCCAGCAAAGCCUUCUCUGCUGGCCUAACAUGCCAAUUAAAUAAAUAUUUUUCAUCCUUUCA